GCCCGGGUGGUGGAAUUGGUAGACACACCAUCUUGAGGGGGUGGCGCCGCGAGGUGUACGAGUUCGAAUCUCGUCCCGGGCA
rnacentral:tRNA from 1 species